AUUGAACGCUGGCGGCAUGCCUUACACAUGCAAGUCGAACGGUAACAGGUCUUCGGAUGCUGACGAGUGGCGAACGGGUGAGUAAUGCGUAGGAAGCUGCCCGAUAGAGGGGGAUACCAGUUGGAAACGACUGUUAAUACCGCAUAAUGUCUACGGACCAAAGUGUGGGACCUUCGGGCCACAUGCUAUCGGAUGCGCCUACGUGGGAUUAGCUAGUUGGUGAGGUAAUGGCUCACCAAGGCGACGAUCUCUAGCUGGUUUGAGAGGAUGAUCAGCCACACUGGAACUGGGACACGGUCCAGACUCCUACGGGAGGCAGCAGUGGGGAAUAUUGGACAAUGGGCGCAAGCCUGAUCCAGCCAUGCCGCGUGUGUGAAGAAGGCCUUCGGGUUGUAAAGCACUUUCAGCGAGGAGGAAGGGAUGUAUGUUAAUAGCAUGCAUUUUUGACGUUACUCGCAGAAGAAGCACCGGCUAACUCUGUGCCAGCCGCCGCAGUAAUAC
rnacentral:rRNA from 1 species